UGGGGAAUCUUGCGCAAUGCGCGAAAGCGUGACGCAGCAACGCCGCGUGGGGGAAGAAGGCCUUCGGGUUGUAAACCCCUUUCAGUUGGGACGAAGCCCGGGCGGUGAAUAGCCGUUCCGGGUGACGGUACCUUCACAAGAAGCUCCGGCUAACUACGUGCCAGCAGCCGCGGUAAUACGUAGGGGGCAAGCGUUGUCCGGAAUCAUUGGGCGUAAAGAGCGCGUAGGCGGCCCGAUAAGUCCGCUGUGAAAGUCAAGGGCUUAACCCUUGAAUGCCGGUGGAAACUGUCGGGCUAGAGUCCGGAAGAGGCGAGUGGAAUUCCUGGUGUAGCGGUGAAAUGCGCAGAUAUCAGGAGGAACACCGAUGGCGAAGGCAGCUCGCUGGGACGGUACUGACGCUGAGGCGCGAAAGCGUGGGGAGCAAACAG
rnacentral:rRNA from 1 species